rnacentral:rRNA from 1 species
CCUACGGGAGGCAGCAGUGGGGAAUUUUGCACAAUGGGGGAAACCCUGAUGCAGCGAUGCCGCGUGAAGGAAGAAGGCUUUCGGUUUGUAAACUUCUAUUAGCAGGGAAGAAAAGACGGUUCCUGACUCAGAAGCUCCGGCUAAGUACGUGCCAGCUGCCGCGGUAAUACGGAGGGGGCAAGCGUUAUCCGGAUUUACUGGGUGUAAAGGGUGCGUAGGCGGUUUAGCAAGUCAGAAGUGAAAUGCCGGGGCUCAAAUCCGGGACUGCAUUUGAGACUGUUAGUCUUGAGUUUCGCAGAGGGAGGUGGAAUUCCGAGUGUAGCGGUGAAAUGCGUAGAUAUUAGGAGGAACACCAGUGGCGAAGGCAGCCUGCUGGACGAACACUGACGGUGAGGCGCGAAAGCGUGGGGAGCAAACAGGAUUAGAUACCCCUGUAGUC